CACGUAGGGGCCAAGCGUUGUCCGGAUUUAUUGGGCGUAAAGAGCUCGUAGGCGGCUCGGUAAGUCAGGUGUGAAACCUCCAGGCUCAACCUGGAGACGCCACCUGAUACUGCUGUGGCUAGAGUCCGGUAGGGGAGCGUGGAAUUCCUGGUGUAGCGGUGAAAUGCGCAGAUAUCAGGAGGAACACCAGCGGCGAAGGCGGCGCUCUGGGCCGGAACUGACGCUGAGAUACGAAAGCGUGGGGAGCAAACAGG
rnacentral:rRNA from 1 species